GCCAGUGUGGCAUAGUGGUUUGAGUGUUGGACUACAACUCUGGAGACCAGGAUUUGAUUCCCUGCUCAGUCA
rnacentral:tRNA from 1 species